UACAGAGGGGGCAAGCGUUAUUCGGAAUUAUUGGGCGUAAAGGGCGCGUAGGCGGCUUUGCAAGUGACGGGUGAAAUCCCUCGGCUUAACCGAGGAACUGCCUGUCAAACUGCAUGGCUUGAGACCGGGAGAGGUGAGUGGAAUUCCCAGUGUAGCGGUGAAAUGCGUAGAUAUUGGGAGGAACACCAGUGGCGAAGGCGGCUCACUGGACCGGUACUGACGCUGAUGCGCGAAAGCUAGGGGAGCGAACGGG
rnacentral:rRNA from 1 species